rnacentral:tRNA from 1 species
GCCGUCGUAGCUCAGGGGUAGAGCAUCGCAUUCGUAAUGCGAGGGUCGGAGGUUCAAAUCCUCUCGACGGCACCA